UCAAGACGGGUCGUUUAAAGCCAUUAUGCCAGCAUCCUAAGCGCGUUCGUGUCCGAAGACCGACCAUAAAGGCACGCUGCGUUCCUCAGUCCCGUCCGAUGCAUGUGAAAGAGGGCUAUAACACAUCCGAGGAUGCCACGUUCCCUCCAACUUUUUCCACCGGUCGAAACUGAUGCUGGCCUGUAGUCUGAGGAAUACACCGGCAGAACCGGCUGAACCUCAAACCACAUGACUGACUUCAAUCGUUUCCCUUUCAACAAUUUCACGUACUGUUUAACUCUCUUUCCAAAGUGCUUUUCAUCUUUCCCUCACGGUACUUGUUCGCUAUCGGUCUCUCGCCAAUAUUUAGCUUUAGAUGGAAUUUACCACCCAUUUUGAGCUGCAUUCCCAAACAACUCGACUCUUCGAGAGCGCAUCGCAGAGCAUAGAUGAUCUGUGUCAAGGACGGGAUUCUCACCCUCUAUGACGCCCUAUUCCAAGGGACUUGUACACAGGCCUACGCGGAAAACGCUUCUCUAGACUACAACUCGGACAAUCUUAGACUGCCAGAUUUUAAAUUUGAGCUCAUCCCGCUUCACUCGCCGUUACUAGGGGAAUCCUUGUUAGUUUUUUUUCCUCCGUUUU
rnacentral:rRNA from 1 species